UUGUCUCCUAGGGGGUGAUCAGUCCCCUCUUCCACUCCAAACGGGAUUCCUUUCAACUUGAUCCUUGUGUUAUUCAUCCAGGAAUUAUUAAGAACAACAUUAAUGCCUGAUAUCAUGCCAGCCAUUAAUUUGGCAAGCAUUCUGAUCUAUCUGAAGACGGCUGUUUUACACAUGCCAUUGAUUUUGUCCUUCAAUAUUUCCCCCGCAUGAGUUAAUGUUGGAGUUUACGUUCCUGAUAUGGAAAAGAAGCUAAGGAGCCAGCCGUUCCCAAAGCAGUGAUGCAAGUUAUAUAAACAAUUAAGAACCACUCAGAUGAGGCAAAUCUUUGACUCAUGGGUAUCAUUGCCUUUGGGUAUAACAGGAAAUUUUCAAUUUCACCCUGGCAGAAGCCAAUCAAUUAUUUUAUAUGGCAUCAUCCUAGUGUACAAUAAAGAUCCUUA